rfam:Bacterium F11 isolate F11 NODE_1_length_116207_cov_48.6397, whole genome shotgun sequence.
GGACGGUUAGCUCAGCGGAAGAGCAUUGCCUUUACAAGGCAGGGGUCGCAGGUUCGAACCCUGCACCGUCCA